rnacentral:rRNA from 1 species
UACAGAGGGGGCAAGCGUUGUUCGGAAUUACUGGGCGUAAAGGGCUCGUAGGCGGCCAACUAAGUCCGACGUGAAAUCCCAAGGCUUAACCUUGGAACUGCGUCGGAUACUGGAUGGCUUGAAUUCGGGAGAGGGAUGCAGAAUUCCAGGUGUAGCGGUGAAAUGCGUAGAUAUCUGGAGGAAUACCGGUGGCGAAGGCGGCAUCCUGGACCGACAUUGACGCUGAGGAGCGAAAGCUAGGGGAGCAAACGGG